ensembl:lncRNA
GAAAACAAAAACUAUUUCAUUGUGCAUAUACAAAUUGGCAUAUAGUGAUUUUCCCCUACUAAGAUUAGGGAAGCGGUGAACAUUUGUGUCACAUGUCUGAAAAGUUAACAACCUGGGGACGUUUCUUCCUUUCCUAUUCGGGUCUCAAAGCACUGUAAAGUUAGUGAUCCAACUUCUGGGAACCCUCCUCUAGCUUCUUUCCUUUCCCAGGAGGCUGGUAAGGAAGCAUGCAUCAGCUGGAUAGGUUUACAGUGACCACAAUAACUUAGGGUGGCCAGGGCAAAGUUUUAGCAGGCUGAAGAAUUGGAGAAGGCAUGUUAGAAAUGGGCUGUGUAAGGCAGCUGUGUUUCUGACACGUGGAAGAGGGGGGGAGGCUGAGGAAAUAUUACAGCCACUGCUGAAACAGCAGGUUGGCUGCUGAUCUGUGGGCAUUGUCAUGCAGGUGCUGCACUCCAAGGCCCAUAAAGCUGAGGAGAGGUUUAGCAAGAGCUUAUGGAUACUUGUAGUAACAAGUGUAGUUAUUAGCUGGCUCACAUCUUCGAAUGGAGAGCCAACAGGGUAGAAGACAAAGAUAAGACGAAAGCAAAUAAUGUUUUUUUCUCAUAACGGGUUUAGGGAGCUAUAGCGUUCUUGAAAGUUGUUUUUUUUAUGUGAAAGUUAAAAAUACAGUGGCUUAUUGCAUAGUACAGUCAUUGCAAAAUACAUUGCAGGCAGUUUGAUCCUACUGAAUAGUAUUCAUGUCAGUCCUACGGAGACGGAACAGAUGAUUACUCUGUGUUUGCCUUGCACAGGGCAAGCUAACCUUCCCUGGUGGGUGGUGCUUUUGUAUCUGCUUCAAAGGCUCAGGUACUAGUUUGUGCUAAGGUUACUAUCGUUCAGUAUUACUUUGCUUUUCACAGUGCAUUGGCUUUAUUCAGUAAUAUUAUUGUAAUAUUGCCUGAUGUGAUGUGUUAAAUGCACCUAUAGUUCUCCCCUGAACAUGUAUGCAGGUUUGCUUUUAGCUGCUGCUGCUUGUUGUCAGUUUGCUUCUGUUCCCCAUGGUUUUAUGAUCUAUGACUCCUUUUAAAUUGAGAGGGUGAAGACUUGGGAACUGUAGAAUAAGACUUGCUGAAAAUGAAAAGCCAAGUUAGUGAUGUCUGCAUUGUAUCCACUAGUAUCGUGUUUUCUGAAAUCCUCUGCCCAGGGAGCACUCUUGUUUGGGCUGGCUCAUAGAGAAACUGGUAGCCUUGCAUGCUGUGUUGCACCUCACUGAACUCUUGAUUUCACAAGUUAACAAGGUUGUGUUGUCUUUCUUCAGUGCUGUUCCAUAGCAGUAACGCGAGGUAAGGAAUUGCUCCUUAUUGUCUGUAGCAGCUGCUGCUUGUUCUCCACAAUGUCACAUCAGUUCUAGCCAUAACAUCUUGUUUACAAUAAUCCCACAAAAUGUUCUUACUCUUGCAGGGCAUAGGUGAUUGUUUCAAUGUUAUUCCUUCUCUCCGCAGGCAAAGGAAGUCCACAGCUUCUUCCCUGAACUAGACAGCUACGUGUGAUUUAACUUGUGGAAUCUUGCUUGGACUCAUCCGUAUGGGAAAUUUGGCCAGAAAUUUCCUGUCAUAGAAACAGUGGUGAUGCUGGAGAACUGCUUGUAAGGUACAGUCUCUUGGAUAAUAUCGGAUGCUGAGACAGAAAGAUGUCUUUCCAGAUGAAGAGGCUGAGUCCUUUCCUGUGCAAGAGCUCAAGUGCAAGGGCUGCCCAAAAUGUUGUGUCCCCAAAGACGAGUCACAGCCUAUCCAGUCAGUGUAAAGGAGGUGCCAAAUUGCUGGUGUUUCAGUGGUGAACAACAAUUGCCAACUUUGAAAUUGACAUCAAGCCUUGAGAUCCAACGUGGGAGUUUUGAUCUCAAAGCACGCAUCCUUAGAAGGGAAGCUAUUUCAGUGGAUGCAAAUAGCAUCAGCUGUGAACUCCACAUAGCAUAAGAAGAGCAGGGAAUAUGUGGAAGAAGAAUAAAGGAAAGGCUAAGGAGCUAGCACAUCCUAUCUGCAUCGUGCUGAUCCACUUGCUGUCAGGAGAACUGGUCCCAUCUUGGGCAGCCCUUAUGGGGUUGGGUUAUGCCCACACUGGGCGAUCCCCCCAUGUCUCUGCAUGCUGCACACCCCUCCUUUGGCCUAUGGGAGAUAAAGAGAGAGCUGCUUCCGUGCAGCUCCUGUCCCAAAGCCUCCAGCCUCAGCCCGGUUUCAGAAAUGGGAUUCACAAUCUCAACAGCAACCUGUUGCUGGUACGUAGAGAAUGCUUAUCAACAACUGCUAAGUCAUCUGCAAGCUUUUCAGCUGAUAUAAGUAUCUGCAUCCUUCUGCACAAGUGUUGUUCUCUUUGUGUCUCUGGGUUCUCUUCUGGGUUUAGCUGGCACUUGAUCUUGCCAGUAAAAUCUGAUGCUUCUUGCUAUAAUAAUGAGAAAGACUCGGGAAAGAAAAAUUAAGUGUUUAUGAGUCAGAAUUCUAGACUUAGCUCUUUUGUGCCACACUAAUGCAAUUGGAGUGAAUAAAAUCAUGCAUCAAUCCAACCGCAGUUCUCUUUGCUGCAGAUCUACAAGUAUUAAAGAAAAAUAAGAGGGGAAAAAAAAACAACAACUCUACAAAGCUUUACUAAAUCACACAAGAUAAUAAAAACAAAUGUUUUGCGUUAUACUGUCAAAGAAAGAAAAAAGACUUCUGCCCUCUCCUGAUUGAGUAUUUCAUUGCCUGCAUCCAUAACCAGUGAAAAGUAGAUAUCUCCAUCCAGGCUUGUUGAAGAAGCGCUUCUGUUGCUGCAAAGGACAUAGUGGAUGCACUGAUCACUACGUUCUGUUAAGCCACUGCGUGGUCACAGUAUGAGAGCUGAGGGAAAAGUAAAUUACAGAGGAAGGCGUGACCCUUCUGUGAUGGGUAGCUGUGUAUUUCCGUGCUGAUAGCCAAGGUCAUGCAAACUCUCAAGCCUCUGCUCACCCCAGGGAAUCUUAGUUCAGGACGUUCCUUACAGCACAAUUAGUCACUCGGUGUUUUGUCUGUGCCCUCUCUCUUCUUAUCUCACCAUUACUUCCUCUGCUUUAAGGCUCAUGUAUCCAGGGGAUGCGGGCAGCUGGAGAAAUAUUCUUUUAAUGAGCCUCAUUUGUUAGGUGCUACUGUUGAUGAAACUAUUAGAUGGAAUCAAAAAUUGAACAUAGUUACAGUACCUAUGUUUGCUAUCUACAAAAAAAGUGUGCUAAUGCAGCUUGGUUGCUAUGGUACAAAAGCUGACAUCAGGAACACGAAGAUGCAUUUGCCUUUUCGCAGUACUUAAGAUGGCAGGCUCGUUGACUAAUCUGGUGGGUGGCAUACUGCACUGUUACUUAACAAGGUGCUUCUGGUGCACGAGAAAUGGAAACAGGGAUCAGUUGCUGCUUAGAAUGUAAUCAAGUUUCUCAAGUCUGAUUCCAGUGUUCUGCCUGUCCACUUUGGGAGUGUUUGUACUUAAUUCCUUUCUUUCAUUAUUUUUUUUCCCCAAUGCCUUUUUCAGUCUAUUCUGAUCUUAGCAGAAGCCUUAGUUCUGUUCAGUUUGACUACAUGCAUUACUUAAGUGUAGUAAUUCUUAGGAGCAAAAGAAAGACCACGUAUACAGGUAGAAGGAAGAGGUUGAUUUUAUUGUGUUUUAUCUGAAAGUGGAUGUAAAACUUGUGAAAAUUACUACCUUAGUAGCUCUAGAAGAGGAACCUUCCUCUGCUUAUCCAUUGAAAAUCCAGUGUGGAGAACAGCAGUAUCGAUUUAUCAUAUGUUGAUCUCCUAUGUGCUUUAAGCCAAACCAGGAGAGAUCUUGGCUAGGAGCAGAAAGCUACUGAUUUUCAGAGGGAGUGAUUUCACAUUUAGUGAAACCAGUGCCAGUGUUUUUAUGUAUUGCACUCAGUUUUGCACCAUGCUUUCAGACCAUUCCUCUUUGGCACUGCUGCUUAGCUUCUGAGUAAGACCAAGCUCAUGCUGUUGCUGUCACAAGGCUUCCUACCCGUUCAAACCAGGCACUGUGGCAACAUAUUUGAAAGAAUCUUCACCCACAACUUAGCCUUGAAAAUGUUGCCAAUAAUGAAUUCCUUCCUUAACCAACACUUACUUUCUGGGAAUAGUGAAACAAGGCUGCUUUGGGCAAGUGAUGUGAAGUGAUAGGUCUGCAAGCCCUUGUUAUGACUCACCUUCGUUUCUAUCACGUGUUCCUCUGCUACUUUGUCCUUUGCCUUUAUCACACUGUACACACUUGUGGCUCCCCAGAAGAUAGAUGGUGUUUGUUGUAAAACAUUCUGAACGUUUUUCAAGUGAGUUACGCCCUUUCUGUAAACCCAACAAUAAAUUACAAUGAGUUACUAAUUAGUAGGGGUGUUAAAAUACGAAAUGAUGUAACGAGCAAGCUGCAUUAGCCAUUUCCUGUAGGAAAGAAGCAUAGAGAGUUAAUUUGCAUCCAGAUGCUUAUCCAAAUAGAAGUCAUUACAGGACUGGAGCUUAAGCUGACACAGGUCAGCGAGGUGGCCAAUAUCACCAAGCCAGAGGGGACGGGGUUCCCUCUAUCCCAGUGUCUGACUUUCCUGCUGCUCACACUGCAAGCAAUCUAGAGGCUUUCAAGCAACUUCGCUGGGUUUGGGAGCUUUGUUUUGUAAUUAACGUCCCGUUACUCAUGCUGGGAGCAUGUCGUGUGAAGGUCAAACACUUGGAAAUAGAAGGGCCAGCCGCUGGUGGAGGUAAAAUUAGUUCUGGUGUUUCCACUGAUGCUUCCUGCGUGCGGAGACAGCGCCGGUGGGUGCCGCAGAGGGCACGUCGGCAAUGGCAUCAGCUGCUGCAGCAGGGAGCCGCCAACGGGAGGUCUGCCCGCGCCCCGGGGCGGCUGCUUCCAGCAUCCCGAUCCGUGCUGUGACGCGGGGAUUUUGUGUUCUAAACGAGAAGCUGAGGCGCACGGGGGAGAAGGAGGAAACCGUCUGUCUUCCGUUCCGCCGCGGCGUUCCUAACCCACGCCCCGGCCCCGCAGUCGCUCAGCCGGGGCCGCUUCAGUGGUGCUGAGGCCGCCCUGAAGCUCGAAGCCGUUCUGUAGGCGGUCCCGCAGCUUCUCGGUAACCCCCCCGGGCUCUUUGGGGGCUUUCCGGCGCGGUUACCCACCGGCCCCGUCCCGCCCGCUCCGCCCCGGCAGCUCGCGGGGCCGGACGCGCUGCCUUCCUGCCGUUCGCCUUCGCUCCCGGUGCGGUGCGGCCUUCUCCCGUGAAUCAGCACUGACUCAGCCGGCCGGCAUCUCGCCGUAGAAAGCAGACCGUUGAAAGAACGCUCUCGGUGACCGUAAUCCACGUCUUACGGCGCUGACGGAAAGUCACGGCACGCACCGGGCCCCUCCGUCCGCGGGCACAGGGCGACGCUCACCUCCUCGGACCUCCGCGGCCCUCCGCCUCACCCCGUUACGAACUCCCCGGGAGGCACCGAACCCGGGAGCCGCUAUUGCUGAGGGUCCGUAAGGGAAGAGGGGCGGUGGGCGGGGUCACCUUGCGCUGACCCCCCCCCCCGCUCCCACCCUGUGCUGCGCGCGCCGGUUACCA